UGUAUACCAGAUUUUCGAUUUCGUCACUACUCCCCCCCCCCGCCGUACACUCUCGAUGUCAUCGUAGUCGUUGAUUCCUAUCUUCCUUUCGCCCUUCAUCAUCAUCGAACCGUGUUCCGCAGUGCGUUAGCCAAUAUGGACAGAAAAGAAUGCACCGGAAGUCAUAAUCACAUCAUCUACCGCACAGAAAUAUUUCUCCCACAUUCCCCGAAAGUAUUGGAUAUUUCAAGGCAUUUUUCGUUUCCAGAAGCGAGAAGCAUACGCAGUAGAUAGAACCAGGAGCUCGGCGAGCUUUUGGAAGACAACAAAAGUAAAAAAAGUCGCCUCAUCCUCAACAACUCGAUCAUUGGAGAAAAGCCCUAGGGAGGGCCAUGCUGCCUGCUGAACUAACCCAUACACACAGCGUUCGGAGAUUUUUCUUUCUUUUUUUUUUUUUUCUUCCUUCCUUCUUUGUCAAGAAUAGAGUUUUGAUGCAACCUCCAUUUCACUCCAUACAAGCGCCUAUGACCCUUCUUGAUAUUUUUAG
rnacentral:sRNA from 1 species